rnacentral:rRNA from 1 species
CAUAGCCGCGGUAAGACAGAGGAUGCAAGCGUUAUCCGGAAUGAUUGGGCGUAAAGCGUCUGUAGGUGGCUUUUCAAGUCCGCCGUCAAAUCCCAGGGCUCAACCCUGGACAGGCGGUGGAAACUACCAAGCUGGAGUACAGUAGGGGCAGAGGGAAUCUCCGGUGGAGCGGUGAAAUGCGUUGAGAUCGGAAAGAACACCAACGGCGAAAGCACUCUGCUGGGCCGACACUGACACUGAGAGACGAAAGCUAGGGGAGCAAAUGGGAUUAGAUACCCGCGUAGUCCCUGUCUCUUAUACA